GGGUCCUUGGCAGAGAUGGUCAAUGCACUUGGUUGAAGCCCAAGCAAUCUCGGUUCGAGUCCGAGGGGGCCCA
rnacentral:tRNA from 1 species